AUCCCCCACACUGGUACUGAGACACGGACCAGACUCCUACGGGAGGCAGCAGUAAGGAAUAUUGGUCAAUGGGGGCAACCCUGAACCAGCCAUGCCGCGUGCAGGACGACUGCCCUAUGGGUUGUAAACUGCUUUUGUUAGGGAAUAAACCCCGCUACGUGUAGCGGGCUGAAUGUACCUAAAGAAUAAGGAUCGGCUAACUCCGUGCCAGCAGCCGCGGUAAUACGGAGGAUCCGAGCGUUAUCCGGAUUUAUUGGGUUUAAAGGGUGCGUAGGCGGCACUUUAAGUCAGGGGUGAAAGACGGCAGCUCAACUGUCGCAGUGCCCUUGAUACUGAAGUGCUUGAAUGCGGUUGAAGACGGCGGAAUGAGACAAGUAGCGGUGAAAUGCAUAGAUAUGUCUCAGAACACCGAUUGCGAAGGCAGCUGUCUAAGCCGUUAUUGACGCUGAUGCACGAAAGCGUGGGGAUCGAACAGGAUUAGAUACCCUGGUAGUCCACGCCCUAAACGAUGAUGACUCGAUGUUUGCGAUAUACCGUAAGCGUCCAAGCGAAAGCGUUAAGUCAUCCACCUGGGGAGUACGCCCGCAAGGGUGAAACUCAAAGGAAUUGACGGGGGCCCGCACAAGCGGAGGAGCAUGUGGUUUAAUUCGAUGAUACGCGAGGAACCUUACCCGGGCUUGAAAGUUACUGAAGGGCGCAGAGACGCGCCCGUCCUUCGGGACAGGAAACUAGGUGCUGCAUGGCUGUCGUCAGCUCGUGCCGUGAGGUGUUGGGUUAAGUCCCGCAACGAGCGCAACCCCUAUGUUUAGUUGCCAGCACGUCAAGGUGGGGACUCUAAACAGACUGCCUGCGCAAGCAGAGAGGAAGGCGGGGACGACGUCAAGUCAUCAUGGCCCUUACGUCCGGGGCUACACACGUGCUACAAUGGAUGGUACAGCGGGCAGCUACACAGCAAUGUGGUGCCAAUCUCGAAAAGCCAUUCACAGUUCGGAUCGGGGUCUGCAACUCGACCCCGUGAAGUUGGAUUCGCUAGUAAUCGCGUAUCAGCAAUGACGCGGUGAAUACGUUCCCGGGCCUUGUACACACCGCCCGUCAAGCCAUGAAAGCUGGGGGUACCUAAAGCAUGUAACCGCAAGGAGCGUUUAGGAAAC
rnacentral:rRNA from 1 species